UUGUUAAUGUGCAUGUGGUGUAAUAACAUGAUCACUUAAGUAGUUGUACUAAAGCUAAAAAAAAAUAAUGUUCAUGAAAAGAUGUGAUGUUGUUUAAACUUAAACUUAGUUAGUAGCUAUACUAAGAGUAAUAAAGUAACUCAUAAAGGUAAUGUUAGUGUAACUAAUGUGUAUUGUCAAUACAUAUGGUAUGUGUAGGACUUGGGGUGAACAUGAGUAGUAAUUGAUAAACCUACGCACGAGGCAAGUUCUCUAACUCUACUUUUAUAAUUGUGCAAGUAUCUAGCUAUCUUUGAGCAAGUUUUCUAAUCUAUUAUCUUGUUAAUUAAAUUAUUGUUUUCAGUUCGAUUACAAUAUAAUGAUGUAAGUUAUUUUGGAGCAAGUUAUUCUUGUAUUUAACUUGUUGUUUAGCAUGCACAACUAUAUAUACUAACGUUGAACAUUUCUAUCGUUCAAAUUACUAUGCAUGCUUAGUAUUCAAUUCUAAUUAACCUUGGCUUAGUAUGGUUCAAGCAAGGUAUGCUAUAGUUAUUCAAGUUGUAUGCUAUUAGAUUAUUCCUAAAGUAUGACUUUAGUUUACUAUGAUUGAUUCAAUCACGAUUAUCCUAUAGUAUAGUGUUAUUGGAUUUAUUCAACUACUCCUUAGUUGAUGUUUGUUGAAUUCCAAAUUACCUUGAAAGCUUAUCCAAACCAAACUUCCUUUGGUGCGAACUUGUACUCCAAAUACUGAGAUGAACAACCCUAUUGUUAUGAUUAGGGGUUAACUUACGCAUAACGUUAAAAUGUUUGUGCAUAAGACAUUGUACGAAGGGCUGAUCCCCCCAAGUACGAGGUCCUUAUAGUCUUAUGACUGUUAAAGUUGGAGUUAAAAGAUUACUUGCAACUGUGGACGUAGUUCAUGGUCUUACGACCCUCAGUGAUGUAUAUUUUCCAUAUUUUGGGAUUUCAGUUUCUGAUUAUUGUUGAUAGAGUACUAUUCACUUUUGAUGAGCCUAUUUCGAC
rnacentral:lncRNA from 1 species